GAUGAACGCUGGCGGCGUGCCUAAUACAUGCAAGUCGAGCGAACAGACGAGGAGCUUGCUCCUCUGACGUUAGCGGCGGACGGGUGAGUAACACGUGGAUAACCUACCUAUAAGACUGGGAUAACUUCGGGAAACCGGAGCUAAUACCGGAUAAUAUAUUGAACCGCAUGGUGCAAUAGUGAAAGACGGUUUUGCUGUCACUUAUAGAUGGAUCCGCGCCGCAUUAGCUAGUUGGUAAGGUAACGGCUUACCAAGGCAACGAUGCGUAGCCGACCUGAGAGGGUGAUCGGCCACACUGGAACUGAGACACGGUCCAGACUCCUACGGGAGGCAGCAGUAGGGAAUCUUCCGCAAUGGGCGAAAGCCUGACGGAGCAACGCCGCGUGAGUGAUGAAGGUCUUCGGAUCGUAAAACUCUGUUAUUAGGGAAGAACAAAUGUGUAAGUAACUAUGCACGUCUUGACGGUACCUAAUCAGAAAGCCAUGGCUAACUACGUG
rnacentral:rRNA from 1 species